UACGUAGGAGGCGAGCGUUGUCCGGAUUUACUGGGCGUAAAGAACGCGUAGGCGGUUCGUUAAGUCUGGCGUCAAAUCUCCUGGCUCAACUGGGAGGGCGCGCUGGAGACUGGCGGACUGGAGGGCAUCAGAGGAAAGCGGAACUCCCGGUGUAGUGGUGAAAUGCGUAGAGAUCGGGAAGAACACCUGUGGCGAAGGCGGCUUUCUGGGGUGUACCUGACGCUGAGGCGUGAAAGCGUGGGGAGCGAACCGG
rnacentral:rRNA from 1 species